rnacentral:lncRNA from 1 species
UGAGGUUCAAGGGUAGAUGGGUUUGGGGUUUGGAAUAUAUGAAGUAGAAGAUAAGGAAGAUGGGGUUUGGAGUUUCGGAUUUUAGGGAUUUAUACGUAAUACUCGUUAAUUCCUCGUAAGCCAAAAUCGUCGUAAGGUUGUCGUAAGGCCACGAGGAGUUUACGACGAAAUUAAAAAAAAUAAAGAAAGCGGGGCACGCUAAUUCCACGCAAGCCAAAAUCGUCGUAAGGUUGUCGUAAGGCCACGAGGAGUUUACGACGAAAUUAAAAAAAUAAAGAAAGCGGGGCACGCUAAUUCCACGUAAGACUCUCUGAGUGAAUGAAAAUAAGGAAUUGUGGUUUGGAAUGAAAAUAAAGAUAUGGUUUGGAAUAUAUAAAGUAGAAGAUAAGGAAUAUGGGGUUUGGGGUUUCGGGUUUCGGGUUUUAGGGAUUUAAAUGGAAUACUCGUUAAUUCCUCGUAUGUUAACGUCGAACUUACGACGAAUUCCUCGUAAAUACCACGUAGGACAGAUUCGUCGUAAAUACCACGUAGGACAGAUUCGUCGUAAAUACCACGUAGGACAGAUUCGUCGUAAAUACCACGUAGGACAGAUUCGUCGUAAAUACCACGUAGGAGAGAUUCGUCGUAAAUACCACGUAAAGUAAAUGAUGAACGCGGCCCACUUUAAUUCCACGUAGGACGGAAUCGUCGUAAACACCUCGUAACCAAAAUCGUCGUAAACACCUU